CCCAGACCGGAAGCGGUCGUCCGUAUACUUUGGCACACUUCCGCCUGGUGCACUACAAACUGGCUCCUUCCCGGCACGCCUCCUCUUGUUUCCCCCUGCCUCCUCCCGGAAGUGACCGUGCCGGAGCAGGAGAACCAAGAGGAAGGAGGUCCAAGCAAUGAAUUCAAAGUCUUUCCUCCGCGUUCCUACUUCUUCACCCGUCUCCAAGGAGUGUUUAAGAAACAUCAUCAGUUCAAGGGAGCCUGUUAAUCUCAACGCUUGGAAGUUAGCCACAAAACCUUUGGGAGGAAUUCAAGACUAACCUCUACUACGUGAAGCUCUGUCUUUAAAAAAAAACAAAACAAACAAAACAAAACAAAACAAAAAACAAACAAGCAGCCAAACGGUGCUGGCAGACAGGUUUAAUCCCAGCACUCGGGAGGCAGAAACAGGCCUAACUCUUGAGUUUGGGCCAGCCUGGUCUACAGAGCUAAUUCCUGGACAGCCAGGACUACACAGAGAGACCCUGUCUCAGGAAAUAAUGAAUAAAUAAACAAAUGCCAAACAAACGAAAUCAAAUCAAUAGUCUAGCAAUCCUCAGCUCACACACUAAACAGUUCCCCAAUAUUGCUGCUUCAUUAAAAAUAACUGUUACUC